AUAUUGCUGACGCCCCUCAUCUCCACAGAAUUACUGUGAAAACAACGCAGAAAAACAUAGCACUCUCUGCAAUGACCUGCUCCAUGUUUUGCUUUGCCACAAUUAAAGACAAAAGAAAGCAGAGACAAACAUGGCUGAAUCAAGAGACGUUGAACAAAGACUACAGAGCAGUAAGAUGACCCAAACAGAACAAAACUGGACAGUGGAAAACACAGUGCAGUCAGAAGACAAACAAACACAAGUUGGCAUAAAAAUCGAAAGGGAAACUAUAAAAAAACACAGACAACUAACAUUUCAAAUAAUUGAGGAGAUUGCCCAACUUUUGGAAGAGACACAAACAGAGAGAAAUGAAAUUGACUUCCUGAAGACACAGACAGAGCAGCAACAGGAGAACAUUGAAAGACUGACAUCUGAAAAACACGAGCAGUUCUUACUAAUAAAAAGGCUGAAAUUACAGAUAGAAAAUGUUAUUGAGAAACUUCUGGAAAACAAAGAAACUGCCCUUCAAGGAAAAGCACUACUACUGAAAAUCCAGAAUGAAAUUUAUCAAGAAAGAGAAACUCUGGACAGAAGACAUUAUGACAUCAUCAAUGAGCAACGCAGGUUGGCCAAGAUCAAGUAUGAUAAGACAAUAUCACAAGCAAAUAAUGAGUCCAAAGAACCUAUGGAACAGAUACAACAAAGGCAGAACUUAAUAGAAAGGCUGAUGGCUGACAGUGAAAGCCUAAUUGAUAAAAACAGGAACAAAAUGGUUCAAACAAAGAAGGCACAAGAGCAAAUACAGAAAACCAUAGCAAAUACAGAGCAGGAGUUAAAGAUAGUUAAAAGAGAAAUUUUACAAAACAGAGAUCAUGUUGAGAAAAUUAAACAUACAAUGAAUGGAAAGAUCAACAAGCUAAAGCAAAGGUGGGCAAACAGUCAGAGAGAUGCUCAAGUGGAGAAGGCCACAGAGAUGGAAAGCAGAGACAGAAAGAGAGAAAAACAAGUCAGAUUUGAAACUGUGAAGGCAAAACUCAGCAGAAUCCAAGAAGGCAUAGAAAACGUGUGGGAUGUGAUGGAAUACUGUGAACAACAGCUGGAUGUGACUAUGAGAGAAAGAUGGAAGCUAAAGACAGAAACCAGUCAAAUGGACAACAUAAAACUAGACUCCCAUAAGCAGCAACAAGAAACAGAUGGAAACAUAACAGUUACACAGAGCGAAACAGAGAUAUGGGAUGACAUGCAAAGACAAGACAUAGGGAGCAAGUUAGCACAGAUACAAUCAGAAAGAGCUGAGAUAGCAAGAAUAAAAAAUAAAAUACAGACAAAUAGAGAAAACGUACAGAGAGACAGACAGCUGACUAAAACAGAAACAGAUACAAUGAAGUGUAUGAGGGAGUAUACUGAAAAGCAAAAACAGGAGCUGGACAGCAAGUUACUGAUGACAAAAUCAGAGAUGAGAGAGAUGGAAGUUAUGAGCAAUGAGACUGAAAUGAAGAAGAAAGAGCUGGCAAAAAUGAUAAGAAUGAGCAGAAGAAAAAUGGGGGAGAGCAGCAGGACAAAGGAAGAUGUUGAAAAUUCUAAACAAGACAUGGGGGAAAGACAAGGUAGGAGUCAGAGGCAGACAUCAGAACAAAUGCAGGAAUUGAACAUGGAGAACAAAUUAAGACAAGCUGAUAGAACCAGAGAAUUAAUGUUGGUGGAAGACAGCAGGGAGGACACCAAAGACAAAGUGAGCGCUGUUGAAUUAGAAGACAUCAAAAAGUUCCUACAUUUGGUGGGAGAAGAUACAGAGCAGAGCUUGAGGGACUUCACAGAAAAAAAGAGCAAAACCAAAUGGAUGAAAUUUCAAACAAGAAACAAGAGACAAGAGGUCAGCCAGCAGCUGGAGAAGACCAUAAAAGAGAGGGAUGAAUUAGCUAUCAUGAAGUUAAAAAUACAACAACAAGGACAGAAAGUUGAACAAAAACUGGAAGGUGCUAUGACCACAAUUCUGUCAAUGGCUGCAAUGAAUACUAACAUAGAAAAAACUGCAGCAGAGAUUAACAGCACCUGGGAGGAAAUGUUAAGAACCCAAAGGAAGACUGGAAAAAACAAGGAAGAAGCAAAAACAUACAUGGACAAGCUUUCCAUGAAAGGUGAGCUCCACAGAUGGAUUUUGUCUCCAAUCAAAAAGACUUUUGCAUCAAAACUUCGACAACCACAAAGGGAAACUGGCAUAGACUCCUUCAAAGAUCAAACAUUGAAAAUUCCAGCUGAAAACAAAAAAGCAGAGGAUCAACGUAUAACAGAAGCUGUGUUUUUGCAUCACAUAGUCACAUUACAAAAUUGGAAUCAAAGUGACGAAAUAACAGAACAGAAGCAUAAGCAUUCAGAGCGCAAACUUUUUCUUGUCAUGGACAUGGAAGAAGAGCAGAAUAUUUGCUUACAGAUUAGGACAGAAAUUGAUGAAGGAGCAUUAAUAGAAAAUAAUGAGACCAACUUUCUGAUAAAUUUGAGGGAGAAGGAAGAAAUGAAAAAAAAAUUAUCCAAACUCAAGGAAAAGGAGGAGGAAAUAAAGGAGCAGAUGAAGUAUGCUAUGGAGAACAUGGAAGAAAAUAGUCAAGAGAUUAAAAGACUCAUGGAAAUAAAUGACUUGAAGAGCCAGAGACCAGAGACUACUGUCAAGCAAACUGGAGAUCUGGAGGAAAGAGGGACUGAGCUUUUGGAAGAAAUAGAGCUGAACAGUAGUGACAUUUUGACUACAAAUGUCAAUGGAAAAAUGAAAUAUGAAGUGCAAGUUCAAAUGAAUGGCAAAAACAGGAAACGCCAGUCUGACAUGAUGAGACUGGAUGUUAAGCCAAGAAAGCAAAGUCAGGAGUCAAGAGAAGAUCUAUGGACACAUGCUGAGGAGAUGAAUGGAGAUUCUGAUAAAAAGUGUACAGAAAGUACAGUUAUACAAAGAUUUAGUGGAAAGUUUUAUACAACUCAAGAAAUCAUGAGAUCGGUAAAAGUACAACUUGAGAACCACACUGAAAAAAGUAAAAUCAAAGACUAUACAAAGAAAAACUGUAAAAUUCAGCGAUUGCUGCAAGAUAUGAAACAGUUCCAAGAGCUUUUGAAAAUGCUGAAAACUGCAAUAAAGCAAAGUGAAAUGUGCCACAAAGAAGAAAUGACCAACAUGAAGUCAAUGAAAACUGCUGCAAAAAAAGGGGAAAGAGAACUGGAUCAGAAAUUACAGAAAAUUUUGAAAGAGAGAGAUGCAUUAGAAAUGUUAAAAAUAAAAAUACAGAGAGAAACUGAAGUGUUUCAACAGAGGUUGGAGAAAGUGGGAAAAGUUAAGAGAACUGUAGAGAAAAUGGUUGUUAAGACAAGAAAGAAAAGUGAAAACGUAGAGAAUAAUUUGAAAGAGACUGAAGUAAAACUGAGGCAGUUAGAAGACCUGAACUGUAGAAUUGAAGCUACAAAACUAGACAUGGAAAACUGUUUAACCUCCCAGGAAAGAGCUGAGCUCGAAAAAUACAAGAUUGAAAUAAGGCAGAAAAAGCACAGAGAAUCUGCAGUGGAAAAAGCUGAGAGGCAGAAGGAAAGUGUUAAAAAAAGUGUCAGUGCUAAAACAGACACAGAAAGGGAGAAGUUGACAGAAAAGACAAAAGGCCAAGAAACAGAGUCAAUGGAAAAUGAAAACUUCAACUGUGAAACUAAGCAACUAAAAAAGGCCAAAAUUGAGGAAGUGAAACAAACAAUGGAGAGAGAACUAAUUGAAGCAAAAGGACAAAACAUGAACAACUUACAGGUGAAUACUGAACAAAAGAAAAAUGAAAUCAAUGAACUAAAGCAAAUAAACAAAAGAGAAAUAAGAGAAAUGGAGCUGCUGAAGUCCGAGCUGGAAAUGAAGAGACAAGAAAAUGAACGCAUGUUUAGAAAAAAUGUGAGAAAAAAGGAGGAGAAUGAAAUUCUGUGGAAUGAAUUACAAGAAGAAAAGAAAUCACUGAGGAGAGAGACCAAAAAGAGUAGAAGAGAAUUAGACCAAAGAUUGGAAAAAAACGCAAGACACAGGGAUGAGUUAGAGUUGUUAAGAAUAAAAAUGAGAGAACAGAAGGAGGAGCUGGAAGAGGAGAGGAUGAGGAUCCAAGACCUGACAGUUCUCAUCUAUGAAUACAGAGAACAUGAAAAACACAGUUUGGAAAAGAAAGACAUGAAAAGCUUCAGUAAGAUAAUCAGAAUGGUACAUGAGACCUCAAAAGUCACUGAUUCCAUUAGUAACCUUCAAAACAUAAGACAAAAAUUCCAUGUACACUUAGAAAUAAUUAUGAGAGACAUGGGAAUUCUUGAAAAUGUAAGUGUUUAUUUAAGGAAACAAGGAGAUGGACUAAAAGCACUAAAAACUAAAAAUAUGAAUGUAAGGGACUACAUGGGCAGAGUAAAAUCUCAGAUAAAGGACUUUGAAAAAAUUACUACACGAGCAAAAGCAGAGAUGGACAAAAUGUUUAACAUCAGGGAUGACAUCCAAAAACAAAAACAGGAGCUUGCCAUCACACAAGAGAAAGCUAAAAGAGAAAGACAAGAGAUGGAGGUGUUAACGUCUGAGUUGGAAAUGAAGAAAAGAGAAAAUCAACAGAUCAUUCGAAAAUGUAUUCAAACAGAGCAGGAAGGUAAAAAAGUGUGGGCUGCUGUCAAAGAAGAGAAAGAUCUCCUCAAGAGGGAAACACAGAAGAGAAAGAAGGAGCUCAACCUGCAACUGGAAAGGAUCAUCAGAGAGCGGGAUAAACUGGAGAUUAUGAACUUGAGAUUGAAAAGUAAAACGGAUGAGGGCAGAAGUAAAAUGGUGAAGUCAAGGACAUCAGUCAUCACAGAUUUUCAAAAUCAAGUUCAGAAGCACUGGGAACUAAUUGAGAUGUGUAUUGAGAAAUAUAAGCACAUGAAGACACAUUGUACACUUAUGAUUGCAGCAGUUAAAGAUGAAAAACAACAUAUCAAGGUACAGGCAAAAUUAACCACUCUCACAAGGGAAGAAGUUGCAAAUACUAGGAUAGAGAUGAAAAAACGAAUGGAAGUGAUGAUACAUGAAUUUAAAAAUGUGCAACAAAAACAAGAAUAUUUGGGACAAGUUGAAACAAAUAUCCAAAAAGAGAAAAACUCAAUCAAGAGCGAGAAGAAGAGAACCACUGAGAAAACAGAGAUGAUACUUCUGAGAAAAGAGGAGCGAGAGAAUGAAACAGAGAUACAGAAGGGUGAGAUGAUGAUACUGAAAGAUAAAAAACAAAACAUAAAGAUUUUGCGCACACCUAUAAGACGAAAGAGAACAUCAAUAACUCAAGCUGAAAAAUCUAUGUUAAAAAGUAAAAGGAAGCUCAAUCAAGAGACCGAACAAACAAAGCAUGAAUACCUGAAAGAAAAGGAAGAACUCACUGGAGUAAAACAACUGGAAAAUAAAGAAAAAGGGAAAUCUGGAAUGGGUAUAAAUUAUACAGAAAAAGAUGAUAAUGAGCUGGAAGCAGAUGACCAUAAAGAGGCGGAAAAAAAGAAGAGUACACAACAAGGGGAAAAUGUUAAAGAGAAUGAAGUAAUACAAACAAGUGAAAACAACACUGAAAAGGGAAAACUGGAAGAGAUGUCAAAUGGAGUGAUGAAUAGAAAAGAAAUAAAAAAUCAGUGGAAACCAAAACUGGGAAAACGUAAAGAUGCUGAAACACGAAAGUCUCGUUUAGAGCAAAGAAAGGUAGAGCUGAAGAAAUCUCAAUAUCAAUUGAAAGAAAAAUUUGAAACAGAACAACACCUUGAAAAACAAGCAGCACAGGAGAAAGAAGAAGGAGAGGGUCUGAAUAAAGUCAGUGAAAUGAUGAACAAAGAGAAAGUGGACUUGGAGCUGAUGAGAUCGGAAAUCCUCAAACAAUCUGACAUAUUGGAACAAGAGAAACAAGAUAUGGAAGAUGAAAAGGACAUGUUGGAGAUCACAAUGGCUGAGCUACAAGAGAAGAAAGAACAUGCAGACAACUUGUUUGAUGAAAUCAACAGAGAGAAGACCAAAAUGAAUGACCUCAACCUCCAGCUACAAACAAAUCAGAGGAGCCUGGAGGAAAUGAUGAAGAUGAUGACAGCGAAACAAAAACAACAUGAACUCAAGAAUGAGGAGUUCAACAAACAAACACAAGAACUAGAAAGUAUCAAGAAAAAUGUGCUGGCAGAAAGACAAGAAUUGGAAAUUCAGAAGAAGAGUUUCAAGAAGAAGGUAGAAGAGAUUGAAGCGUUCAUGAAAACCAUGAAAGAAGAGAAAGAACAGGUCAAUCAGAUAAAAGCUGAAAUGGAGAGAGAGAGAGAUGCAAUGUUGAAUGAAUCAGACAGAUUGGAAGGAGAAAGGUCUGAGUUGAAAAUGACAGAAGAUCAAGUCAAGAAAAGAAUGGAAUCAAUAGAAACUCUGAGGGAAAAACUUGAGUGGCUGAAUGGAAGGAUGAAUGAGCACACAAAACACAACAUAGACAGAUUACAACUAAACAGUGACACUGGACUACAGUUACACACUGUAUUGGAGCAAAAGCUAGCAGCACUUGAUGAUCAGAAAAACAUCAUGGCUUGUUACACUGAGAUGCUCGAGAAACAACAGGAUGGUAUGAUGAGCUUACUGUCUGAAAUGACGACCCAGAGAGAGGAGAUGGAAAAUGAAUGGAAGCAACAGUUGGAGGAUGAAAAACAACAUCUCAUGAAACUGAAAGCAGAGUUGAAAGAAGAAAGAGAGCAUCUGAAUAAAGCCAGUGAAAUGAUGAACAAAGAGAAAGUGGACUUGGAGCUGAUUAGAUCGGAAAUCCUCAAACAAUCUGACACAUUAAAACAAGAGAAACAAGAUAUGAAAGAUGAAAAGAACGUGUUGGAGAUCACAAUGGCUGAGCUACAAGAGAAGAAAGAACAUGCAGACAACUUGUUUGAUGAAAUCAACAGAGAGAAGACCAAAAUGAAUGACCUCAACCUCCAGCUACAAACAAAUCAGAGGAGCCUGGAGGAAAUGAUGAAGAUGAUGACAGCGAAACAAAAACAACAUGAACUCAAGAAUGAGGAGUUCAACAAACAAACACAAGAACUAGAAAGUAUCAAGAAGAAUGUGCUGGUAGAAAGACAAGAUUUGGAAAUUCAGAAGAAGAGUUUCAAGAAGAAGGUAGAAGAGAUUGAAGCGUUCAUGAAAACCAUGAAAGAAGAGAAAGAACAGGUCAAUCAGAUAAAAGCUGAAAUGGAGAGAGAGAGAGAUGCAAUGUUGAAUGAAUCAGACAGAUUGGAAGGAGAAAGGUCUGAGUUGAAAAUGACAGAAGAUCAAGUCAAGAAAAGAAUGGAAUCAAUAGAAACUCUGAGGGAAAAACUUGAGUGGCUGAAUGGAAGGAUGAAUGAGCACACAAAACACAACAUAGACAGAUUACAACUAAAUAGUGACGCUGCACUACAGUUACACACUGUAUUGGAGCAAAAGCUAGCAGCACUUGAUGAUCAGAAAAACAUCAUGGCUUGUUACACUGAGAUGCUCGAGAAACAACAGGACGGUAUGAUGAGCUUACUGUCUGAAAUGACGACCCAGAGAGAGGAGAUGGAAAAUGAAUGGAAGCAACAGUUGGAGGAUGAAAAACAAUAUCUCAUGAAACUGAAAGCAGAGUUGAAAGAAGAAAGAGAGCAUCUGAAUAAAGCCAGUGAAAUGAUGAACAAAGAGAAAGUGGACUUGGAGCUGAUUAGAUCGGAAAUCCUCAAACAAUCUGACACAUUAAAACAAGAGAAACAAGAUAUGAAAGAUGAAAAGAAUGUGUUGGAGAUCACAAUGGCUGAGCUACAAGAGAAGAAAGAACAUGCAGACAACUUGUUUGGUGAAAUCAACAGAGAGAAGACCAAAAUGAAUGACCUCAACCUCCAGCUACAAACAAAUCAGAGGAGCCUGGAGGAAAUGAUGAAAAUGAUGACAGCGAAACAAAAACAACAUGAACUCAAGAAUGAGGAGUUCAACAAACAAACACAAGAACUAGAAAGUAUCAAGAAGAAUGUGCUGGCAGAAAGACAAGAAUUGGAAAUUCAGAAGAAGAGUUUCAAGAAGAAGGUAGAAGAGAUUGAAGCGUUCAUGAAAACCAUGAAAGAAGAGAAAGAACAGGUCAAUCAGAUAAAAGCUGAAAUGGAGAGAGAGAGAGAUGCAAUGUUGAAUGAAUCAGACAGAUUGGAAGGAGAAAGGUCUGAGUUGAAAAUGACAGAAGAUCAAGUCAAGAAAAGAAUGGAAUCAAUAGAAACUCUGAGGGAAAAACUUGAGUGGCUGAAUGGAAGGAUGAAUGAGCACACAAAACACAACAUAGACAAAUUACAACUAAACAGUGACGCUGGACUACAGUUACACACUGUAUUGGAGCAAAAGCUAACAGCACUUGAUGAUCAGAAAAACAUCAUGGCUUGUUACACUGAGAUGCUCGAGAAACAACAGGAUGGUAUGAUGAGCUUACUGUCUGAAAUGACGACCCAGAGAGAGGAGAUGGAAAAUGAAUGGAAGCAACAGUUGGAGGAUGAAAAACAACAUCUCAUGAAACUGAAAGCAGAGUUGAAAGAAGAAAGAGAGCAUCUGAAUAAAGCCAGUGAAAUGAUGAACAAAGAGAAAGUGGACUUGGAGCUGAUUAGAUCGGAAAUCCUCAAACAAUCUGACAUAUUGGAACAAGAGAAACAAGAUAUGGAAGAUGAAAAGGACAUGUUGGAGAUCACAAUGGCUGAGCUACAAGAGAAGAAAGAACAUGCAGACAACUUGUUUGAUGAAAUCAACAGAGAGAAGACCAAAAUGAAUGACCUCAACCUCCAGCUACAAACAAAUCAGAGGAGCCUGGAGGAAAUGAUGAAGAUGAUGACAGCGAAACAAAAAACACAUGAACUCAAGAAUGAGGAGUUCAACAAACAAACACAAGAACUAGAAAGUAUCAAGAAGAAUGUGCUGGCAGAAAGACAAGAAUUGGAAAUUCAGAAGAAGAGUUUCAAGAAGAAGGUAGAAGAGAUUGAAGCGUUCAUGAAAACCAUGAAAGAAGAGAAAGAACAGGUCAAUCAGAUAAAAGCUGAAAUGGAGAGAGAGAGAGAUGCAAUGUUGAAUGAAUCAGACAGAUUGGAAGGAGAAAGGUCUGAGUUGAAAAUGACAGAAGAUCAAGUCAAGAAAAGAAUGGAAUCAAUAGAAACUCUGAGGGAAAAACUUGAGUGGCUGAAUGGAAGGAUGAAUGAGCACACAAAACACAACAUAGACAGAUUACAACUAAACAGUGACGCUGGACUACAGUUACACACUGUAUUGGAGCAAAAGCUAACAGCACUUGAUGAUCAGAAAAACAUCAUGGCUUGUUACACUGAGAUGCUCGAGAAACAACAGGAUGGUAUGAUGAGCUUACUGUCUGAAAUGACGACCCAGAGAGAGGAGAUGGAAAAUGAAUGGAAGCAACAGUUGGAGGAUGAAAAACAACAUCUCAUGAAACUGAAAGCAGAGUUGAAAGAAGAAAGAGAGCAUCUGAAUAAAGCCAGUGAAAUGAUGAACAAAGAGAAAGUGGACUUGGAGCUGAUUAGAUCGGAAAUCCUCAAACAAUCUGACAUAUUGGAACAAGAGAAACAAGAUAUGGAAGAUGAAAAGGACAUGUUGGAGAUCACAAUGGCUGAGCUACAAGAGAAGAAAGAACAUGCAGACAACUUGUUUGAUGAAAUCAACAGAGAGAAGACCAAAAUGAAUGACCUCAACCUCCAGCUACAAACAAAUCAGAGGAGCCUGGAGGAAAUGAUGAAGAUGAUGACAGCGAAACAAAAAACACAUGAACUCAAGAAUGAGGAGUUCAACAAACAAACACAAGAACUAGAAAGUAUCAAGAAGAAUGUGCUGGCAGAAAGACAAGAAUUGGAAAUUCAGAAGAAGAGUUUCAAGAAGAAGGUAGAAGAGAUUGAAGCGUUCAUGAAAACCAUGAAAGAAGAGAAAGAACAGGUCAAUCAGAUAAAAGCUGAAAUGGAGAGAGAGAGAGAUGCAAUGUUGAAUGAAUCAGACAGAUUGGAAGGAGAAAGGUCUGAGUUGAAAAUGACAGAAGAUCAAGUCAAGAAAAGAAUGGAAUCAAUAGAAACUCUGAGGGAAAAACUUGAGUGGCUGAAUGGAAGGAUGAAUGAGCACACAAAACACAACAUAGACAGAUUACAACUAAACAGUGACGCUGCACUACAGUUACACACUGUAUUGGAGCAAAAGCUAGCAGCACUUGAUGAUCAGAAAAACAUCAUGGCUUGUUACACUGAGAUGCUCGAGAAACAACAGGACGGUAUGAUGAGCUUACUGUCUGAAAUGACGACCCAGAGAGAGGAGAUGGAAAAUGAAUGGAAGCAACAGUUGGAGGAUGAAAAACAACAUCUCAUGAAACUGAAAGCAGAGUUGAAAGAAGAGAGAGAGCAUCUGAAUAAAGCCAGUGAAAUGAUGAACAAAGAGAAAGUGGACUUGGAGCUGAUGAGAUCUGAAAUCCUCAAACAAUCUGACAUAUUGGAACAAGAGAAACAAGAUAUGGAAGAUGAAAAGGACAUGUUGGAGAUCACAAUGGCUGAGCUACAAGAGAAGAAAGAACAUGCAGACAACUUGUUUGAUGAAAUCAACAGAGAGAAGACCAAAAUGAAUGACCUCAACCUCCAGCUACAAACAAAUCAGAGGAGCCUGGAGGAAAUGAUGAAGAUGAUGACAGCGAAACAAAAACAACAUGAACUCAAGAAUGAGGAGUUCAAAAAACAAACACAAGAACUAGAAAGUAUCAAGAAAAAUGUGCUGGCAGAAAGACAAGAAUUGGAAAUUCAGAAGAAGAGUUUCAAGAAGAAGGUAGAAGAGAUUGAAGCGUUCAUGAAAACCAUGAAAGAAGAGAAAGAACAGGUCAAUCAGAUAAAAGCUGAAAUGGAGAGAGAGAGAGAUGCAAUGUUGAAUGAAUCAGACAGAUUGGAAGGAGAAAGGUCUGAGUUGAAAAUGACAGAAGAUCAAGUCAAGAAAAGAAUGGAAUCAAUAGAAACUCUGAGGGAAAAACUUGAGUGGCUGAAUGGAAGGAUGAAUGAGCACACAAAACACAAAGACAGAUUACAACUAAACAGUGACACUGGACUACAGUUACACACUGUAUUGGAGCAAAAGCUAGCAGCACUUGAUGAUCAGAAAAACAUCACGGCUUGUUACACUGAGAUGCUCGAGAAACAACAGGACGGUAUGAUGAGCUUACUGUCUGAAAUGACGACCCAGAGAGAGGAGAUGGAAAAUGAAUGGAAGCAACAGGUGGAGGAUGAAAAACAACAUCUCAUGAAACUGAAAGCAGAGUUGAAAGAAGAGAGAGAGCAUCUGAAUAAAGCCAGUGAAAUGAUGAACAAAGAGAAAGUGGACUUGGAGCUGAUGAGAUCUGAAAUCCUCAAACAAUCUGACAUAUUGGAACAAGAGAAACAAGAUAUGGAAGAUGAAAAGGACAUGUUGGAGAUCACAAUGGCUGAGCUACAAGAGAAGAAAGAACAUGCAGACAACUUGUUUGAUGAAAUCAACAGAGAGAAGACCAAAAUGAAUGACCUCAACCUCCAGCUACAAACAAAUCAGAGGAGCCUGGAGGAAAUGAUGAAGAUGAUGACAGCGAAACAAAAACAACAUGAACUCAAGAAUGAGGAGUUCAAAAAACAAACACAAGAACUAGAAAGUAUCAAGAAAAAUGUGCUGGCAGAAAGACAAGAAUUGGAAAUUCAGAAGAAGAGUUUCAAGAAGAAGGUAGAAGAGAUUGAAGCGUUCAUGAAAACCAUGAAAGAAGAGAAAGAACAGGUCAAUCAGAUAAAAGCUGAAAUGGAGAGAGAGAGAGAUGCAAUGUUGAAUGAAUCAGACAGAUUGGAAGGAGAAAGGUCUGAGUUGAAAAUGACAGAAGAUCAAGUCAAGAAAAGAAUGGAAUCAAUAGAAACUCUGAGGGAAAAACUUGAGUGGCUGAAUGGAAGGAUGAAUGAGCACACAAAACACAAAGACAGAUUACAACUAAACAGUGACACUGGACUACAGUUACACACUGUAUUGGAGCAAAAGCUAGCAGCACUUGAUGAUCAGAAAAACAUCAUGGCUUGUUACACUGAGAUGCUCGAGAAACAACAGGAUGGUAUGAUGAGCUUACUGUCUGAAAUGACGACCCAGAGAGAGGAGAUGGAAAAUGAAUGGAAGCAACAGUUGGAGGAUGAAAAACAAUAUCUCAUGAAACUGAAAGCAGAGUUGAAAGAAGAAAGAGAGCAUCUGAAUAAAGCCAGUGAAAUGAUGAACAAAGAGAAAGUGGACUUGGAGCUGAUUAGAUCGGAAAUCCUCAAACAAUCUGACACAUUAAAACAAGAGAAACAAGAUAUGAAAGAUGAAAAGCACGUGUUGGAGAUCACAAUGGCUGAGCUACAAGAGAAGAAAGAACAUGCAGACAACUUGUUUGAUGAAAUCAACAGAGAGAAGACCAAAAUGAAUGACCUCAACCUCCAGCUACAAACAAAUCAGAGGAGCCUGGAGGAAAUGAUGAAGAUGAUGACAGCGAAACAAAAACAACAUGAACUCAAGAAUGAGGAGUUCAACAAACAAACACAAGAACUAGAAAGUAUCAAGAAGAAUGUGCUGGUAGAAAGACAAGAAUUGGAAAUUCAGAAGAAGAGUUUCAAGAAGAAGGUAGAAGAGAUUGAAGCGUUCAUGAAAACCAUGAAAGAAGAGAAAGAACAGGUCAAUCAGAUAAAAGCUGAAAUGGAGAGAGAGAGAGAUGCAAUGUUGAAUGAAUCAGACAGACUGGAAGGAGAAAGGUCUGAGUUGAAAAUGACAGAAGAUCAAGUCAAGAAAAGAAUGGAAUCAAUAGAAACUCUGAGGGAAAAACUUGAGUGGCUGAAUGGAAGGAUGAAUGAGCACACAAAACACAACAUAGACAGAUUACAACUAAAUAGUGACGCUGCACUACAGUUACACACUGUAUUGGAGCAAAAGCUAGCAGCACUUGAUGAUCAGAAAAACAUCAUGGCUUGUUACACUGAGAUGCUCGAGAAACAACAGGACGGUAUGAUGAGCUUACUGUCUGAAAUGACGACCCAGAGAGAGGAGAUGGAAAAUGAAUGGAAGCAACAGUUGGAGGAUGAAAAACAAUAUCUCAUGAAACUGAAAGCAGAGUUGAAAGAAGAAAGAGAGCAUCUGAAUAAAGCCAGUGAAAUGAUGAACAAAGAGAAAGUGGACUUGGAGCUGAUUAGAUCGGAAAUCCUCAAACAAUCUGACACAUUAAAACAAGAGAAACAAGAUAUGAAAGAUGAAAAGAACGUGUUGGAGAUCACAAUGGCUGAGCUACAAGAGAAGAAAGAACAUGCAGACAACUUGUUUGAUGAAAUCAACAGAGAGAAGACCAAAAUGAAUGACCUCAACCUCCAGCUACAAACAAAUCAGAGGAGCCUGGAGGAAAUGAUGAAAAUGAUGACAGCGAAACAAAAACAACAUGAACUCAAGAAUGAGGAGUUCAACAAACAAACACAAGAACUAGAAAGUAUCAAGAAGAAUGUGCUGGCAGAAAGACAAGAAUUGGAAAUUCAGAAGAAGAGUUUCAAGAAGAAGGUAGAAGAGAUUGAAGCGUUCAUGAAAACCAUGAAAGAAGAGAAAGAACAGGUCAAUCAGAUAAAAGCUGAAAUGGAGAGAGAGAGAGAUGCAAUGUUGAAUGAAUCAGACAGAUUGGAAGGAGAAAGGUCUGAGUUGAAAAUGACAGAAGAUCAAGUCAAGAAAAGAAUGGAAUCAAUAGAAACUCUGAGGGAAAAACUUGAGUGGCUGAAUGGAAGGAUGAAUGAGCACACAAAACACAACAUAGACAAAUUACAACUAAACAGUGACGCUGGACUACAGUUACACACUGUAUUGGAGCAAAAGCUAACAGCACUUGAUGAUCAGAAAAACAUCAUGGCUUGUUACACUGAGAUGCUCGAGAAACAACAGGAUGGUAUGAUGAGCUUACUGUCUGAAAUGACGACCCAGAGAGAGGAGAUGGAAAAUGAAUGGAAGCAACAGUUGGAGGAUGAAAAACAACAUCUCAUGAAACUGAAAGCAGAGUUGAAAGAAGAAAGAGAGCAUCUGAAUAAAGUCAGUGAAAUGAUGAACAAAGAGAAAGUGGACUUGGAGCUGAUUAGAUCGGAAAUCCUCAAACAAUCUGACAUAUUGGAACAAGAGAAACAAGAUAUGGAAGAUGAAAAGGACAUGUUGGAGAUCACAAUGGCUGAGCUACAAGAGAAGAAAGAACAUGCAGACAACUUGUUUGAUGAAAUCAACAGAGAGAAGACCAAAAUGAAUGACCUCAACCUCCAGCUACAAACAAAUCAGAGGAGCCUGGAGGAAAUGAUGAAGAUGAUGACAGCGAAACAAAAACAACAUGAACUCAAGAAUGAGGAGUUCAACAAACAAACACAAGAACUAGAAAGUAUCAAGAAGAAUGUGCUGGCAGAAAGACAAGAAUUGGAAAUUCAGAAGAAGAGUUUCAAGAAGAAGGUAGAAGAGAUUGAAGCGUUCAUGAAAACCAUGAAAGAAGAGAAAGAACAGGUCAAUCAGAUAAAAGCUGAAAUGGAGAGAGAGAGAGAUGCAAUGUUGAAUGAAUCAGACAGAUUGGAAGGAGAAAGGUCUGAGUUGAAAAUGACAGAAGAUCAAGUCAAGAAAAGAAUGGAAUCAAUAGAAACUCUGAGGGAAAAACUUGAGUGGCUGAAUGGAAGGAUGAAUGAGCACACAAAACACAACAUAGACAGAUUACAACUAAACAGUGACGCUGGACUACAGUUACACACUGUAUUGGAGCAAAAGCUAACAGCACUUGAUGAUCAGAAAAACAUCAUGGCUUGUUACACUGAGAUGCUCGAGAAACAACAGGAUGGUAUGAUGAGCUUACUGUCUGAAAUGACGACCCAGAGAGAGGAGAUGGAAAAUGAAUGGAAGCAACAGUUGGAGGAUGAAAAACAACAUCUCAUGAAACUGAAAGCAGAGUUGAAAGAAGAAAGAGAGCAUCUGAAUAAAGCCAGUGAAAUGAUGAACAAAGAGAAAGUGGACUUGGAGCUGAUUAGAUCGGAAAUCCUCAAACAAUCUGACAUAUUGGAACAAGAGAAACAAGAUAUGGAAGAUGAAAAGGACAUGUUGGAGAUCACAAUGGCUGAGCUACAAGAGAAGAAAGAACAUGCAGACAACUUGUUUGAUGAAAUCAACAGAGAGAAGACCAAAAUGAAUGACCUCAACCUCCAGCUACAAACAAAUCAGAGGAGCCUGGAGGAAAUGAUGAAGAUGAUGACAGCGAAACAAAAAACACAUGAACUCAAGAAUGAGGAGUUCAACAAACAAACACAAGAACUAGAAAGUAUCAAGAAGAAUGUGCUGGCAGAAAGACAAGAAUUGGAAAUUCAGAAGAAGAGUUUCAAGAAGAAGGUAGAAGAGAUUGAAGCGUUCAUGAAAACCAUGAAAGAAGAGAAAGAACAGGUCAAUCAGAUAAAAGCUGAAAUGGAGAGAGAGAGAGAUGCAAUGUUGAAUGAAUCAGACAGAUUGGAAGGAGAAAGGUCUGAGUUGAAAAUGACAGAAGAUCAAGUCAAGAAAAGAAUGGAAUCAAUAGAAACUCUGAGGGAAAAACUUGAGUGGCUGAAUGGAAGGAUGAAUGAGCACACAAAACACAACAUAGACAGAUUACAACUAAACAGUGACGCUGCACUACAGUUACACACUGUAUUGGAGCAAAAGCUAGCAGCACUUGAUGAUCAGAAAAACAUCAUGGCUUGUUACACUGAGAUGCUCGAGAAACAACAGGACGGUAUGAUGAGCUUACUGUCUGAAAUGACGACCCAGAGAGAGGAGAUGGAAAAUGAAUGGAAGCAACAGUUGGAGGAUGAAAAACAACAUCUCAUGAAACUGAAAGCAGAGUUGAAAGAAGAGAGAGAGCAUCUGAAUAAAGCCAGUGAAAUGAUGAACAAAGAGAAAGUGGACUUGGAGCUGAUGAGAUCGGAAAUCCUCAAACAAUCUGACACAUUAAAACAAGAGAAACAAGAUAUGAAAGAUGAAAAGAAUGUGUUGGAGAUCACAAUGGCUGAGCUACAAGAGAAGAAAGAACAUGCAGACAACUUGUUUGAUGAAAUCAACAGAGAGAAGACCAAAAUGAAUGACCUCAACCUCCAGCUACAAACAAAUCAGAGGAGCCUGGAAGAAAUGAUGAUGAUGAUGACAGCGAAACAAAAACAACAUGAACUCAAGAAUGAGGAGUUCAACAAACAAACACAAGAACUAGAAAGUAUCAAGAAUAAUGUGCUGGCAGAAAGACAAGAAUUGGAAAUUCAGAAGAAGAGUUUCAAGAAGAAGGUAGAAGAGAUUGAAGCGUUCAUGAAAACCAUGAAAGAAGAGAAAGAACAGGUCAAUCAGAUAAAAGCUGAAAUGGAGAGAGAGAGAGAUGCAAUGUUGAAUGAAUCAGACAGAUUGGAAGGAGAAAGGUCUGAGUUGAAAAUGACAGAAGAUCAAGUCAAGAAAAGAAUGGAAUCAAUAGAAACUCUGAGGGAAAAACUUGAGUGGCUGAAUGGAAGGAUGAAUGAGCACACAAAACACAACAUAGACAGAUUACAACUAAACAGUGACGCUGCACUACAGUUACACACUGUAUUGGAGCAAAAGCUAGCAGCACUUGGUGAUCAGAAAAACAUCAUGGCUUGUUACACUGAGAUGGUCGAGAAACAACAGGACGGUAUGAUGAGCUUACUGUCUGAAAUGACGACCCAGAGAGAGGAGAUGGAAAAUGAAUGGAAGCAGCAGUUGGAGGAUGAAAAACAACAUCUCAUGAAACUGAAAGCAGAGUUGAAAGAAGAGAGAGAGCAUCUGAAUAAAGCCAGUGAAAUGAUGAACAAAGAGAAAGUGGACUUGGAGCUGAUGAGAUCGGAAAUCCUCAAACAAUCUGACACAUUAAAACAAGAGAAACAAGAUAUGAAAGAUGAAAAGAAUGUGUUGGAGAUCACAAUGGCUGAGCUACAAGAGAAGAAAGAACAUGCAGACAACUUGUUUGAUGAAAUCAACAGAGAGAAGACCAAAAUGAAUGACCUCAACCUCCAGCUACAAACAAAUCAGAGGAGCCUGGAGGAAAUGAUGAAGAUGAUGACAGCGAAACAAAAACAACAUGAACUCAAGAAUGAGGAGUUCAACAAACAAACACAAGAACGAGAAAGUAUCAAGAAGAAUGUGCUGGCAGAAAGACAAGAAUUGGAAAUUCAGAAGAAGAGUUUCAAGAAGAAGGUAGAAGAGAUUGAAGCGUUCAUGAAAACCAUGAAAGAAGAGAAAGAACAGGUCAAUCAGAUAAAAGCUGAAAUGGAGAGAGAGAGAGAUGCAAUGUUGAAUGAAUCAGACAGAUUGGAAGGAGAAAGGUCUGAGUUGAAAAUGACAGAAGAUCAAGUCAAGAAAAGAAUGGAAUUAAUAGAAACUCUGAGGGAAACACUUGAGUGGCUGAAUGGAAGGAUGAAUGAGCACACAAAACACAACAUAGACAGAUUACAACUAAACAGUGACGCUGCACUACAGUUACACACUGUAUUGGAGCAAAAGCUAGCAGCACUUGAUGAUCAGAAAAACAUCAUGGCUUGUUACACUGAGAUGCUCGAGAAACAACAGGACGGUAUGAUGAGCUUACUGUCUGAAAUGACGACCCAGAGAGAGGAGAUGGAAAAUGAAUGGAAGCAACAGUUGGAGGAUGAAAAACAACAUCUCAUGAAACUGAAAGCAGAGUUGAAAGAAGAGAGAGAGCAUCUGAAUAAAGCCAGUGAAAUGAUGAACAAAGAGAAAGUGGACUUGGAGCUGAUGAGAUCUGAAAUCCUCAAACAAUCUGACAUAUUGGAACAAGAGAAACAAGAUAUGGAAGAUGAAAAGGACAUGUUGGAGAUCACAAUGGCUGAGCUACAAGAGAAGAAAGAACAUGCAGACAACUUGUUGAAUGAAAUCAACAGAGAGAAGACCAAAAUGAACGACCUCAACCUCCAGCUACAAACAAAUCAGAGGAGCCUGGAGGAAAUGAUGAAGAUGAUGGCACUGAAACAAAAACAACAUGAAUUCAAGAAUGCUGAUGUCAACAAACAACCACAAGAACUGGAAAGUACCAAGAAGAAAGUGCUAUUCGAAGGAGACAAAUCAGAAGUUCAGAAGAAGAGUUUCACAUUGGACACGUUAGAAAUCACGAUGGCUGAACUUACAACCACCCAAGAAAAAAAUUAUCCUCCUGAGACAACCCCAAAAAACAAAAUAACAUGUCAAAUGAUGAAAUGCAUUGACCCUGUGAAAGAAAUGUUUUUAAAUGAACGUGAGGAGAUGAAAGAAACACGCUCUGAGAUCAUAAUUACACAGGACCAAUUUUGCAUUGUCCUUAACACAAUUGUACAUUUGAGAAGCAUACUAGAACUUCUCAAUCAAAAGACAUAUAAAGUGUCUUGUAUGAAUAUUGACAGAUUUGAGCACAAAAGUAGAACCAUACUAAAGCUACUCACUACAUUGGGACACAAGUGUGCUGAAAUUGAUCAGCUGAUUAAUCUGAUCACUUCUUAUUAUUGUCAGAUACAAUGCGAAAAGACAUAUAUGUUGAAAGGAAAGCUACACAAAGCAGUUCAAACUGUGGCUGCAGUACAAGAAUGCUUGCAUGAACACGAUGGUGAAAGGCUGGACUUGAGAGAAUUUAAAGAAUCUGAAUGUAAGAAGGAUGUUCAGCAAUCACCUUGCGUGACUCAGACUGACAAAUGGGAACAUCAGCAGAAAUCUGGUCGAGGUCAAGGUGACCUUAGAGGAACAGCUGUCUCCCUGAAACCUGAAAGGGAAGGUGUUCUGAUCAGAGCAGAAGGUAAAGAAGUGAUCAAUGUCGAGAUACAGAAACUUGCAAAAGUGUCUGAGUUAUCUGCAGAGAUAGAUGACUUUACAGAACAGCAAAUGUUAAAUAGAGAGUGUUUGAGAAAGAUCUGGAAGGGUACCAGAGUUGAACAAAAGGAGAUCAGUCAUAUGAAGUGCAGUGCUCAUGAUAUGAGAAACAAUCUGGAGAAAAGACUAAAGGUAAUCAAUCAGUUUGUAAAGAAAACAUUGUCACAGAAAGGAAAGACACCAAAGAAGACAAAGCUGGAAAAAGAUCAAAGUGAGGACACAUUAUCUCAAAAUGAUUGGAAUGGAGACCACAAAUCUCUCAAUGAAAAAUACUUAGAGCUCCAACAACUUAAAAUGUGUAUGUUCAGUCAAUUUGAGAAACUCCACAUUAGAGAAAAAGUGACACUGACAACUAGCAACAAGACAAAUCAAAAACAUCAGAUAGACAUUUUCGCAGGCCAUCCAACAGUCCAGGUAUUACAACAAGCUUCAACCAAAAUCAAUCAAGAGCAGAUUAAUGAAGGAGAAACUGAACAAGCUCCAGAGACAUCUAGUGGAUUCCUGUGUCAGCUUCGGCAUUACUGCUAUCGCUGCUGCUGUUGUGCUCACUGUAAGCAAGUUUUCCCAAAGGAGAAAUAAGAGUGUCUGGAAAUAGUUCUGUUCACCUGAGAAACUUAAACAACUGAAGAUUACCAGUGUGAUGUUUAAUCUCAGGUUAGCAAAGCUGGACCAUGUCCUUGCAUUCUGAACAGCAACACAACAAUGGUGCACCACGGCCGCAUGACAUGUUGAAACAUCUGUUGAUGGAGAGACUUCUGACCAAACUGGAAUCUGCUAUGAACCAGCAACCACUAAAUUUGGAUUAUCUGGAGUUCCUCACACGCCAUGAGCUUAUUUUGUUUGAAUCAUUCUCUGAGCAAAUAGGUGGUAUAACAGAAAUUACAGAAACACUUCAGAAUCUCCAUUAUCUGGUCCAGUGUAACAUUAAUGACAGUUCUAUGCCCAUUGUGGAACAUGAAACAGAAGUUGGUCCUGGUUCUGGCCACCCAAAGAUCAUAAUUCAAAAAGAACACCUGAAGAAUUUGCUGGACACACAUCUGCCAGUCGCCUGCAUUGCUAAAUUCCUCGGUGUUUCAAGAAGGACAGUUUACAGAAGGAUGCAAGAAUUUGACUUGUCUGUGAGAGGAACAUACAGCACAAUGACUGACCAAGAGCUUGACAUCAUCAUAUCAUCCAUUCAAAGUCAGAUGCCAAAUGCUGGAUAUCGGUGGUCUUUGGUGGAGUGGAUGGUUACUCAAGGAAGGUCUUGUACUUGGAUGCUGCAACAAAUAACAGAGCAAAAACUGCAUUUUCAUUCUUCAUCAGAUCGGCCCAGCUUCAUGGUUUACCGUCAAGGGUUAGGGCAGAUCAGGGAGUAGAGAACCUGGACAUUGCACAUUUCAUGUUUGCCACACGGGGAACAGGAAGAUCGAGCUUCAUCUCUGGAAAGAGCGUCCAUAAUCAGAGAGUAGAGCGAAUGUGGCGGGAUGUCUGGGUUGCAGUCACUAGCAAGUACCAUGAUAUUCUUCACACUCUGAAAGAGGAUGGUCUACUUGACAUAUCUGAUGCCACUCUUCUCUUUGGUGUACACUACGUCUUUGUCCCUCGACUCUGGGCAGAUCUUGAUACCUUUAUUGAAGGAUGGAAUAAUCAUUCAUUCUCUGUGGACAGAGGGAGGUCUCACUCCUGAACAGCUGUGGUGUAUGGGACAUCUACAAGAUCUGGACGAGGGGGAGAGACUCGAGGAUCUUCAGGACCCAGGCAUUGACUGGGAGAGUGCUGUGCUGCAAGAAGACUCUAACGGCACAGUUGUGGUUCCUGAAGUUGAGUGUCCACUGGAUAACGAAGCCUUGGAAGAACUUCAGAGAACUAUCAACCCUCUGGAACAUUCAGAGUCACAUGGUCGUGACUUAUACAUAAGAUUCUUGCAACAGGUGUCUAACCAAUAGACAUUUGGAGAGGAACUUGAAAGUCAACAAAUGUGGACUUCCAGCACAGUGACAGAAUUUAUUGAAGCUUUUCUCACUAAUGCAAGCAGAGAACCCUGUAUAAAGGGAAUUUAUAUGACUGAAGAGAAAGAAAGUCAAACACUGUCUGGGCUAACAGACAGUGUUUUUUUCAUUAGCAAUGAACAUUCUAUCAGUUAAUGUUUAGAAACAUUUUAUUUUUUGUUUAAGAUUACAAGAGAGCUACUUCUGUUAAACUCUGUGGAAGCCACCACCAUAUCUAAACUGCUUCACUCAUAAUUCUUCUGAACUCAGUGUAAGUGUUGAGAUGCUGUAUUGGAAAAGUUACUGUACGAGUGCAUGAACUCACAACUGGGUGUGAUCACAAAUGGAGUGAUCUCCAAGCCGCUCCCUGCAGUCAUGGUCAAACAUGCAUGUUAUUUUAAAAUGUCUCUUUUCAUCAGGGAGGAUGGGAAUGUGGGAUUGCCCGGUCAACCAUUGGAGCACAUGCUGAACUCCAAUAGAGUGUGACUCCUCAACUGCAGCACUGUCUUCCUCCUCACCUGUGAUGUGUAAAAUAUUUCAAAUAAAACACGUUACAAACAA